CUAAGGUAGCAUAGUCAUUUGUUGUUUAAUUGAUAACUGGAAUGAAAGGUUAAACUAGCCUGCUAAGUUUGUAAAAUUAAAUAGGAGUUUAAAGUUAAGGUAAGAAUUCUUUAAUUUUCUAGGGGACGAUAAGACCCUAGAAGCUUGACGAAAUGAGUGUUUUGUAUUAAAAGUUUAUUCGAUUUACUGGGGCGGUAAAAAUAAUUAAGCUAUUUAUUAUUUAUAGGAUCCUUUAAAUAAAGAAAAAAUGGGGAAGUUACUCUAGGGAUAA
rnacentral:rRNA from 1 species